rnacentral:rRNA from 5 species
GAGUAAUGUCUGGGAAACUGCCUGAUGGAGGGGGAUAACUACUGGAAACGGUGGCUAAUACCGCAUAACGUCGCAAGACCAAAGAGGGGGACCUUCGGGCCUCUUGCCAUCAGAUGUGCCCAGAUGGGAUUAGCUAGUUGGUGAGGUAACGGCUCACCAAGGCGACGAUCCCUAGCUGGUCUGAGAGGAUGACCAGCCACACUGGAACUGAGACACGGUCCAGACUCCUACGGGAGGCAGCAGUGGGGAAUAUUGCACAAUGGGCGCAAGCCUGAUGCAGCCAUGCCGCGUGUAUGAAGAAGGCCUUCGGGUUGUAAAGUACUUUCAGCGGGGAGGAAGGUGUUGUGGUUAAUAACCGCAGCAAUUGACGUUACCCGCAGAAGAAGCACCGGCUAACUCCGUGCCAGCAGCCGCGGUAAUACGGAGGGUGCAAGCGUUAAUCGGAAUUACUGGGCGUAAAGCGCACGCAGGCGGUCUGUCAAGUCGGAUGUGAAAUCCCCGGGCUCAACCUGGGAACUGCAUUCGAAACUGGCAGGCUUGAGUCUUGUAGAGGGGGGUAGAAUUCCAGGUGUAGCGGUGAAAUGCGUAGAGAUCUGGAGGAAUACCGGUGGCGAAGGCGGCCCCCUGGACAAAGACUGACGCUCAGGUGCGAAAGCGUGGGGAGCAAACAGGAUUAGAUACCCUGGUAGUCCACGCCGUAAACGAUGUCUACUUGGAGGUUGUGCCCUUGAGGCGUGGCUUCCGGAGCUAACGCGUUAAGUAGACCGCCUGGGGAGUACGGCCGCAAGGUUAAAACUCAAAUGAAUUGACGGGGGCCCGCACAAGCGGUGGAGCAUGUGGUUUAAUUCGAUGCAACGCGAAGAACCUUACCUGGUCUUGACAUCCACAGAAGAAUCCAGAGAUGGAUUUGUGCCUUCGGGAACUGUGAGACAGGUGCUGCAUGGCUGUCGUCAGCUCGUGUUGUGAAAUGUUGGGUUAAGUCCCGCAACGAGCGCAACCCUUAUCCUUUGUUGCCAGCGGUCCGGCCGGGAACUCAAAGGAGACUGCCAGUGAUAAACUGGAGGAAGGUGGGGAUGACGUCAAGUCAUCAUGGCCCUUACGACCAGGGCUACACACGUGCUACAAUGGCGCAUACAAAGAGAAGCGACCUCGCGAGAGCAAGCGGACCUCAUAAAGUGCGUCGUAGUCCGGAUUGGAGUCUGCAACUCGACUCCAUGAAGUCGGAAUCGCUAGUAAUCGUGGAUCAGAAUGCCACGGUGAAUACGUUCCCGGGCCUUGUACACACCGCCCGUCACACCAUGGGAGUGGGUUGCAAAAGAAGUAGGUAGCUUAACCUUCGGGAGGGCGCUUACCACUUUGUGAUUCAUGACUGGGGUGAAGUCGUAACAAGGUAACCGUAGGGGAACCUGCGGUUGGAUCACCUCCUUACCUUAAAGAA